CUACUGAGGGAUUAUUAUCUAUGAACUUAAACAAAUGUCGAGAUCCCAUAGCGAAGGAAGAAACUAUUUUUCCAGGUCGAAUGUUCUUUUUUGCAUUAGUAAUGCAUCCUCGUUGGACGAGAUCAACGACGCCAUCGCUGAACAUCUCUGUGUGAAUACCAAGGUCUUUGUGUUGAUGUAAACAUGACAGAACUGAGUUUGGUAUGCUCCCAAUACCUAUAUAGUGAUUAAAAUGUUGUGUUAGAGAAAAUGCUGUCAGCAGGUAACAUCCCGUGCAGCUUUAUAGUGUUGCAUACAAACAGUUUUAUUAAUUGU